GACGAACGCUGGCGGCGUGCUUAACACAUGCAAGUCGAACGGAAAGGCCCAGCUUUUGUGGGGUGCUCGAGUGGCGAACGGGUGAGUAACACGUGAGUAACCUGCCCUUGACUUUGGGAUAACUUCAGGAAACUGGGGCUAAUACCGGAUAGGAGCUCCUGCUGCAUGGUGGGGGUUGGAAAGUUUCGGCGGUUGGGGAUGGACUCGCGGCUUAUCAGCUUGUUGGUGGGGUAGUGGCUUACCAAGGCUUUGACGGGUAGCCGGCCUGAGAGGGUGACCGGCCACAUUGGGACUGAGAUACGGCCCAGACUCCUACGGGAGGCAGCAGUGGGGAAUAUUGCACAAUGGGCGGAAGCCUGAUGCAGCAACGCCGCGUGCGGGAUGACGGCCUUCGGGUUGUAAACCGCUUUCGCCUGUGACGAAGCGUGAGUGACGGUAGUGGGUAAAGAAGCACCGGCUAACUACGUG
rnacentral:rRNA from 1 species